UGACGGAAAAACUGCGAUAAAUUAACAAUUGUUUUUGUUUCAGAUGACGCCGAUACAUAUCUUUUUCGUAUUAGCGAGCCUUUGCGUUCUGGCUUCGGCUACCAACCGACCAUGCACCUACAAAGGACAAAACUAUCGGCACGGUCAAACUUUCAUAGACGUUUAUAGCGAGUGCAAAUGUAACGAUGGACAAGUCACAUGUUCUCAACGCGUAUAUGGAAAGAAACAAUGCACCUACAAAGAAAAAACCUAUCAGGACGGUCAAACUUUCAUAGACGUUUAUAGCGAGUGCACAUGCAACGAUGGAACAGUCACAUGUUCUCAACGCGUAU